AUUGAACGCUGGCGGCAUGCUUUACACAUGCAAGUCGAACGGCAGCGCGGGCUUCGGCCUGGCGGCGCGUGGCGAACGGGUGUGUAAUGCAUCUGAACGUGCCCCGUAUUUGGGGAUAGCCCAGCUAAAGCCGGAUUAAUACCGCAUCCGACCUGAUGUUGAAAGCUGGGGACCGAAAGGCCUCUCGCUCUUUGAUCUGCCGAUGUCGGAUUAGCUAGUUGGUUGGGUAAAGGCUUACCAAGGCGACGAUCCGUAGCUGGUCUGAGAGGACGACCAGCCACACUGGGACUGAGACACGGCCCAGACUCCUACGGGAGGCAGCAGUGGGGAAUGUUGGACAAUGGGGGCAAACAUGAUACAGCAAGGCCGCGUGCGGGAAGAAGGAGUUCGGGUUGUAAAACGGUGUUGUUAGGGAAGAAAAAAUAUGGGCUAAUACCAAGGGGGGAUGACGGUACCGGAAGAAUAAGCACCGGCUAACUACGUG
rnacentral:rRNA from 1 species